AUACACACACAUAGCACACAGUCUAACACGUGUAGCUGUGUGUCAGUCAUGUCUUUCCAGACCCCCCCAUCAUCCCCACAUACACACAGUCUAACACGUGUAGCUGUGUGUGUCAGUCAUGUCUUUCCAGACCCCCCCCUCCCCACAUACACACAGUCUAACACGUGUAGCUAUGUGUGUCAGUCAUGUCUUUCCAGACCCCCCCCCCCACAUACACACAGUCUAACACGUGUAGCUAUGUGUGUCAGUCAUGUCUUUCCAGACCCCCCCCCCCCCCACAUACACACAGUCUAACACGUGUAGCUCUGUGUGUCAGUCAUGUCUUUCCAGACCCCCUCCCCACAUACACAUACACACAGUCUAACACGUGUAGCUAUGUGUGUCAGUCAUGUCUUUCCAGACCCCCC
ensembl:lncRNA